AUUGAACGCUGGCGGCAGGCCUAACACAUGCAAGUCGAACGAGUGGCGGACGGGUGAGUAAUGUCUGGGAAACUGCCUGAUGGAGGGGGAUAACUACUGGAAACGGUAGCUAAUACCGCAUACCAUCAGAUGUGCCCAGAUGGGAUUGGCUUGUUGGUGGGGUAACGGCUAACCAAGGCGACGAUCCCUAGCUGGUCUGAGAGGAUGACCAGCCACACUGGGACUGAGACACGGUCCAGACUCCAACGGGAGGCAGGAGUGGGGAAUAUUGGAAAAUGGGCGCAAGCCUGAUGCAGCCAUGCCGCGUGUAUGAAGAAGGCCUUCGGGUUGUAAAGUACUUUCAGCGAGGAGGCGUUACCCGCAGAAGAAGCACCGGCUAACUCCGUGCCAGCAGCCGCGGUAAUUC
rnacentral:rRNA from 1 species